rnacentral:rRNA from 1 species
UAGGGAAUCUUCCACAAUGGGCGGCAAGCCUGAUGGAGCAACGCCGCGUGAGUGAAGAAGGGUUUCGGCUCGUAAAGCUCUGUUGUUAAAGAAGAACGUGGGUAAGAGUAACUGUUUACCCAGUGACGGUAUUUAACCAGAAAGCCACGGCUAACUACGUGCCAG